rnacentral:rRNA from 1 species
UACGGAGGGUGCAAGCGUUAAUCGGAAUUAUUGGGCGUAAAGGGUGCGUAGGCGGUUUGGUAAGUCUGAUGUGAAAUCUAUGGGCUCAACUCAUAGUCUGCAUCGGAAACUGCCGGGCUUGAGUAUGGGAGAGGUGAGUGGAAUUCCUGAUGUAGCGGUGAAAUGCGUAGAUAUCAGGAGGAACACCUGUGGCGAAAGCGGCUCACUGGACCAUAACUGACGCUGAUGCACGAAAGCUAGGGGAGCAAACAGG